rnacentral:lncRNA from 1 species
GAACUUCCCCUUAAUCAGAACACUGCACGCUAACAAUGUCUGCAAUGUGCUGAUGUGGAACUAGGUAUUAUGUGCCCUCCCCUGAGUGUUUCACAAACAUCUACAUUCAGGGCUUUUGUCUAGCUAUUACUGAGUCCCAUCAAGCUUCUACUGCUCACCAUACGGAAGGUCAGUAAAUCAAGAGACCAGUUGUUGGGGCAAGGAAUAGCGACUUUACUCAGAAAGCUGGUAGGUUGAGAAGAUGGUGGACUCAUGUCCCAAAGAAGCAUCUUGCCCAGGUUAGAAUUCAGGCUUCUUUUAUACUAAAAGGGGAGGGGGUGUGGUUGGUUGUUGUAAACUUCUUGGCGUUAGAAUCCUUUGUUCUAACAGCUGUCCACGUAGAUCAUAAUAUUCCUAUAAACCUCCAAUAAGAUAAAUGUUAUUUUCUCUUUUUUUUAAUUUUAUUGGGAUAUAGUUGACUUACAAUGUUGUGUUAGUUUCAGGUAUGCAGCAAAGUGAAUCAGUUGUAUAUGUACAUAUACAUAUAUCCAUUCUUUUUCAGAUACGGUUCCCAUAUAGGUUAUUAAUGAAUAUUGUGUAGAUUUUGCAUGCUGUACAGAAGGGCCUUGCUAUAAAUGUUCUUUUCUGCAAUGUUUUCUGUCUAUAUGAAUGGAAAAGUGUUUUCCUUUAAAGGUCAGAGCCUUGAGAAAGGGCUCUCCUGUUUAUUUCAGGCUAUAGGCAACAUUCUUUAACAAAAGAUGCAGAGCCAGCAUGACUAAGCAUAGGCAGCAGAGCACAAAGGUGAGAGCUAAAGGAAUAGAUUCAGUAUGGAGUCUGGGUUGUCCUUCUCUGUUGGAUAGCUUCCGGUGAAAGGUCCCAUCCCUGCCCCAGGCCACUGCACACCUUUGCAGAGACCCUGAGGGAUCCUCAGUCACGCAUCCUUCCUGGUACCCUCAGCAUCAGAGCUGAUGUCAGAUUCUGGGAGGGGCCGGAUCUGGAGCAUUUAUUCAUGUCUGCAUGAGCUGGGCAUCCAAUAAACUGCCAGACCCUUUCCAAGGAGCUUGGGAAGCCGGUGAGCAAACCUAACAGUUCAGCCAAAGCGUAGGGGGAAUACCUGUUAAAUGAAAGCCAUGGGUGGGGUGAAGGGGAAAGACCAGACAGAGAGAUUAAUAAGACACUACUCCAGGGCCUGUGAUGACAUGUGUACAUCCAUAAUACACACCACGCAGCUUUGUAACGUGUGCUGGGAGGCCAGGGAAAGAAGGGGGUGAGAGAGCUGGCUGGCAGUCAGCUGGGGAGGCAUCAGGGAGGAGGUGUCAUUUGAGAUGAGACUGGAAUAAGGCAGUAGCACUCAGGCAAAGACCCCAAGGGAUGGAGUUGUAGGCAGAAGCAGGAGUCCCCCUGCAGGAUUUUGAAGAGGUCUAGUCAAGCAGGGGCCUCCAAGGGCCUGCAGCUGUGUGGCCGCAUGACCUGGGAGCAGACCAGACAUCUAAAUCCUCUAAUGUCAGAGCCAUCAUCUAGAGUCUUAAACCACCAAGUGCUUUGGAGGUGUCCUCGCUCAGUUCCUCUCCUCACCCUCAGAGGUAGGUUUUAUUAUCUCCAUUUCCUGGAUGGAGAAACAGGCCCAGAGAAGCUAAGGGAAUGGCUAAAGGCCAAGUAAAGAGUGAAAAGUCCCGCAGGCACCUUGAGAGCCCCUACCUGAGCUUUGUGCUGCACCAUUGUUGAUCCCUCUCCCAGGGACCCAAAACCAGUCACAAAACUGGGGAGGCUGGAAGCACUCAGAGGGACCCUCACCAUAUGAGAACCGAGGCAUCUUCAGGCCUGAUCAGGUGCUGAACCCACACCUGAGUGGUAUUGGCGGCAGAGGUGCUUUCAGGACCUGCACAGGCCCCUCCUGGGUGGCGUGAGCCUCUGGGGCAGGACAGCCAC